ACCGCCGGUGGGUACGGGUUACCACUGAGCCGCCAAGGCUGGGACACCACACUGCCUCUUCUACUGCCCCACAUUAAUGUGCACGACCUGUCCCCUGCAGGUCUGCUUGGAGGAGCAACCACUCCAGCUUUGUCAAGGCCUCCGUUUUCCGCAAAUAUCAGCACUGCGACCAAAGUUAUAUGAGUUUUCUCAGCAUAAGAACAUGAAAAUAUAUGAGGCAGACCGUUAGCUGGCACGAGGCAGCAGAGAUGACUGGGCUUGGAGCCGGCACAGACUGACACCGGCCAAGGAUGCAGCCCCGCUGAUCGGCCGCCUCGAGGAGGAUUACACGAAGAAAGGCCGUCAAAAAACCAAAGACCAAACGUGCCACCUGGGUGCGAUUUGUGGGUUUCAGUAUUUGUUUAGGUCAUCACAUAUUUCGUCUCAAACGAAGCAGCCGUGAAGUAGCGCAGUACUGUCUGGCAUGAAAUAGCUCCUUAAAUGGAGAUCAUUAGCAGGAGUUCCGCCGAACCCGGGCAGGCUCUGCUGCACAUGUGGCUCCCGCGUCCCGUCCUGAUGUGCCGCUGCUCGGACCCAACGGAGCCGGCAGCUUUCUCUCUUUUUAGCUUUUUACAGCGUGCGACCCAACCUGAUGAGCUAACAGGAACCUUACAUCAUUCAGGACAAGAAAGCUCCGUCCAGGACUAAAAAUACCACAAUUGCUUGUCCAAAAAGAAAGACAAAGUGUGCUUCCCUGAGUGCUGUAAAUAUUCCAUUGGACACCAUCCUUAACGGCCUCUGACUCAUGGAUUCUGUCUUCUCCGUCACUGAAACAGAGACAAGCCCCAAUCAGCUGCCCCGCUCGUGUGGUGAAGAAUAUUUUCCUGACAGCACCGUCCAAGGUAUUUUGCCAAGAUCAGCGAGUGGCUUCCACCAUUUCCUUUGUCAGAUCCCUUGCAGGAUGAAGAAUACGGGGCGGUUUUCCCCUGGUAUGGGUUGUGAGUUGGAUCUCCUCCCUGCCCGAUGGCACAGGCAUUGCAGGCGGCCUCUUGGCUGCAAAACAAAACCUUUGUGCCGACGCCAUGCAACAAACCCAACGUCUCCCCAGUUUAUGCCAUCCUCUGGCCAAGGGCUGCCCUGAAAGCAAAACCCAUGCUUCACUUUCCCUGCAAAGAAUAAUUCUUCUGUCCAGGAUUAUUGUUUCAGUCUCUUAAAAGAACAAUACGACACCUAUGUCAGAAAUCCUGCAAAAGCACAACACAGAGAAAUACCCGGGGAUCCAUAAAGCAGAAAGCUUCCUCCAGCACAUGUUUAAACUAUUGGUGGUUCUCUCGGGGCAUUCUGAACCGACACAAUUGACUCCGCGUCCAUGAAAACAGAACAGCAAACAUCGCCCUGCGCCAAGUAUUUGUGUGCUCACUCCUUCGGCUGUGACUCCGGCUGCUUUAAACGUGGAAUCGUUUGGUUUGGGAAGAGAAGGCUCAGAGCAGACCUUAUGGCUCUGCACAGCUCCCCAAAAGGUCGUGGUGAGAUGCGGGUCAGCCUCCCCUCCCAGGUAACGGUGAUGGCAUGAGAGGUGAUGGCCUCACACUGCCAUAGGGCAGGCUCAGGUUGGGUAUCAGGAGCAAUUUCUUCUCUGAAGGAGCAGUCAGGCACUGGCACAGCUGCCCAGGGAGUGGGGUGUCAAUGCCCCUGGGGGUGUUCCAGAAUGAGGAGAUAUGGCACUGGGGGACACAGUCAGUGGGCAUGGUGGGGUGGGUUGGGUUGGACAUGGGGGUCCUACAGGUCUUUUCCAAGCUGAAUGAAUCUAUGAACCUCAGGAACAUGGUGCAACACGGGCCUCGCAAGCUCCUCCUGAGGAGAACCCAGGUGAUGCCCCUGCAGCAUGGGAACGGCAGGCUCAGCCAUGGGUCAACAUCAGUGCUGCUGGGAAAAAACAUAAGUGAGCUUCAGAGCACCGUUAUGGCUUACAGCCAACCAGAAAAACAUAUUAAGUCUUCAACGAGUCAUGGCCAAAUGGAAAGGUCUGAACAAUUCCUUCUUCCUUCUCAUUUUAUGAGCCCCCAGAACUGCCAGGCUUUGUUUGAUCUCGUAACACCUCACCUUGCAUUCCUACACAUCCAUAAAAAUUCCAUAUUCUUUGGCAAACAAAUGCUACUUUGUACGAUGCCUUUUAAAGUUGAAAUAGCCUCCUCUCGACAGAGCCCUCAGCUGCUCCUGCUCAUUGGGGCCAUAUCCAAAAAGGUGGAAACCAUGGGGCAGCCACAACCCCUCGGUCCUGUGGGAUUUCACACAGAUCCACUUUGGCUGAACCCAUAGGAUCAUGGAGCAGAAGGCUGGUGUCUCCAACACAGCUGCCUGCUUGGUUUGCUGCUGGCUGCUCACCUUUAGGUGCCACAGCAUAACCCAUCUGCUUGAAGCAUUUUUGUUUUGGAGAUAAUGUUUGUUAAAGGCCCUUAGCUGCCUUAGCUAGAGAAGCAGACGGGGCUUAUUUUCCUAGGAAUAAAUAAAAGGUCAGCUAUACAUUCAUUACAGUAAUGUCAUACCGUGCUUGAAGCAGACAAAUGCUUAAGGCACGCUCAUAAUGUUUGCCCACUGUCAUUAUCAUCCCUGCUGUCCAUGCUGGGAGCACUCCUACAGGCAUCACUGCAUCUCGGUCAGAGCUUUCCAUCCUGAUAGACGUGGCUUUGUACAGGAUCCUAAAUAUCCUUCAUUUUAUUUAAACUCUGAGGGCAAAUUCUACUCCAGAUGAUGCUAUGUAGCACUCAGCCUAACUGAGCUGCCCUGAUGGAAGCAGCACAGCGCCUUGGCCUGGCAGAGGCAGCCCUUGGGUCAGGCUCUGCUUUCUGCCACUUUCUUGUGCUCGGGUAAGUGCCAGACCCACUUCUCCCAGUAAUGACAAAUCCUUCAACAUACUUUAAACGCUGUUUUCAGGCUCAGCUUUUCCAGGUCUCAGUGACUGCAUGCUUGGAAUGGAGAGAAAGAGGAAAUUAGGUUACCAUUUGUGCGGGAUGAGUUUCUCCACAGGGUGUGCUCGGAAGGGAUCGGGUCUGGGAGCCUGCAGCCCAUCAGCUCCCCGUGUGUGAGCAGACCUCAGUGCUGCCAGAGGCAGGGAGCGGGCAGGGAUGUCUGCACUUCUCAGAGCCCUGGGUGAGGACGGCCCAUGACCAGACCUGUUCAAACCCAUCUCAUCUGGCUAAAGCCAACCCGCUGAGCAGGUAUGGGGAGGGAUGAACCAAAGGGGACAGCCUCUUCACCCACAUGGCUGGAAGGGACGGGCACCUGCACCCCAACGCUGCUCAUGUAGGGAGGGGACCCGGAGCGGAGGCAGCAGGCAGGGCUGCUGGCAGCUGAGCGAGCAGUGAUGGAUGGUGUUGUGGCAACAGUCGCUGCAGGAGCAGAAUGGGAACAAAGGGAACAGGAUGCGGCUGUGAAGGAGGCUGAUGUGUUACAUUCCUGCAGGCAUUUAUGAAUCUGUGCUUAUGUGCUCCAGUCCAAACACUGGCAAUCACUUCUAUUUUUUGCCCACUCAGCAAAGCUACCGCCUGCACUCAGGGUUCCAAACGUGGGAUGUUACAUUUUUCUGUGAUCUCACAAACACCAAGUUAAGGAAUAUGAGGAGAGAAAUACAAGACAAGACAUAGAGGAUGCCUCAGUAGAUAACUCCUGUGUGAGCGUUGUAAGUGAUGAAAAUGGAGGGGAAAGGCCUCAGCAUGGUGCUGGGUGCUGUGCUGCGUCCUGUGCUCACCCCCAGUCCUGGCACAGUGACCACGUGCCGUUACCCCGCUCCUUAGCACACCUUGUCCCUCUGUCCCGAUCAGGUUAAGCCUGCGGAAUACUCUGGAAUGAAUUGUACAGAUUCUGGGAAAUCCACCUACAGAAACCUCAGUGAUUCCUGAGGCUUAAAGUCGGCAUCUGAGGAACUCAGCCUUCCAAAAACAUCGCGUUUGCUGAACUUAUCUCUGAGUGAUAAAGGGCAAACUCUUCUUGACCUGCAUGGAUUGGGAACUUUCGGCUUACUUCUCUCCAGUUCCCUAUGUUCUGUAGCUGCACGACACCCAAAAAAGGAAGCAUUGCUAUCAACGAAGGCCAGAGGAAGGAUGAUAAAUGCCAAAAUCCCAAAGAAAGGCUUAAAACCUACGCUGCUGAGUAGCUGCCGUGGCUUUGCUUUCUACCUUCUGAAAUAAUGACGAUGAUGAUGUGUAGUCCGUCUGCAGAGCAGCUGUGCAGCCGACGUCUGCAGUGAUUUCACAAGGACGAAGCAGAGAGGUUCAGGGUUUGCUCAGGAACCGGCUCAGUACAUGUGGGGCUCUGACCCUGACCUUCCAGGAGCUGCUUCCGACAGGAAAUCAAUCAGUUUAAUCCCGUAAGGGGAACAGUCAGCCCUACAGAGCAGCAGAUCACUGUAAUCUCGUCUUCUGCCCACAGCCUUACGCCUGCGCUUCCCGUGGCAUCCCUGCCUGCAGCUCUCGGUCACGGGGUAGAUUGGGGCUGGAGGUCCUUUCAUCCAAAAAAGCUUGUGCUCUGCUUUGAAAACAUACAAUGGAACACUGUGAGCUUCCCAUCAGCCUUGAAAAGCUGCCUUGUCCCCGUCCCUGGGGCUGCCCUUGGUGGGGAACGGGCUGUGCCGCGCUGCAAGACAGCUGAGCAUUGCGAUCCCAUCAAGGCAGCCAUGUGGGGCUUCAUCUGCUUCAGCUGUGGGCUUCUGGGCUGGGACCUGUCCUGCAUGCAAAGCCCCAGGCACGUGAAGCUGCAGUGGGUGACUGGUGGUCUGCUGAGCCAGGGCUGGGACAGUGUGUAAAUGUUCCUUUGUUAGCAGUUGUUGCGGCUUAAGAACAAAGUGUGUUUUGCAUCUGUCAGGCCCUACUGCUUUUCACCUUCUGAACACAUUUGAAAAGGCAAAGGAUUUGCACCAUGGAUCUGCCCAUGCUCUGGUGCAUGGCAGCACCCGUGGCAGCAACCAUUCACAGCACUGCGCUGCACAGCACAGCCAUGCACAGCCACAUACAGCCAUGCAUAGCCAUGAAUAGCCAUGUAUAGAUAUUCACAGCCAUUCACAGCCAUGUAUAGCCAUGCACAGCCAUGCACAGCCAUGCAUAGCCAUGCACAGCCAUGCAUAGCCAUGUACAGUCAUGCACAGCCACUCACAGCCAUGCAUAGCCACAAACAGCCAUGUACAGCCAUGUACAGCCAUACACAGCUUCUUGCACUUUUCUUUACAGUAACCCCACAAAGCUGCAGCCCACCCUGCUCACAGCUCCCAGCCAGGAAUUCUGCCAACCCCAUUUCUUCCAUCACUCUGACGAUGUCUAUCACAGCUUGGUUUUUCACCACGGGAUGCCUCGAUCCAUGAGAUAAAUGAUAGAUAAAUGAGUUGGACAAGCAGAAGAAUUAACCAGAAUUUCGAAUGACAGUUUCCAAAACUUGGGCACUGGCCAAGGAACUUUCAAAAGCUGAAAUAAUAGCUCAGAUCUGAGAGAUUCUGCAAAGCCCAUAAAUGAAGUAAUCCUCUUCAAACCCGCCGCCGGAUCUGCCAUGGGGCUGAGAUUUGCCUGGACUUCAUCCAAAUAAUGGGCUUCAAAAUUAAAUGUUUUCACAGGA